GUGUCAGCAGCCGCGGUAAUACGGAGGGUGCGAGCGUUGUCCGGAAUCACUGGGCGUAAAGGGCGCGUAGGCGGCGCGGAUAGUCGGCGGUGAAAGCCCGGAGCUCAACUCCGGGUCGGCCGUCGAUACUUCCGGGCUUGAGCACUGUAGAGGCAGAUGGAAUUCCGGGUGUAGCGGUGGAAUGCGUAGAGAUCCGGAAGAACACCGGUGGCGAAGGCGGUCUGCUGGGCAGUUGCUGACGCUGAUGCGCGACAGCGUGGGGAGCAAACAGGAUUAGAUACCCCCGUAGUCC
rnacentral:rRNA from 1 species